UACGUAGGGUCCGAGCGUUGUCCGGAAUUAUUGGGCGUAAAGGGCUCGUAGGCGGUUUGUCGCGUCGGCCGUGAAAACCUGCAGCUUAACUGUGGGCGUGCGGUCGAUACGGGCAUCACUGGAGUUCGGCAGGGGAGACUGGAAUUCCUGGUGUAGCGGUGAAAUGCGCAGAUAUCAGGAGGAACACCGGUGGCGAAGGCGGCAUCCUGGACCGACAUUGACGCUGAGGAGCGAAAGCUAGGGGAGCAAACGGG
rnacentral:rRNA from 1 species